ACAUACUAAGAACUUUCCAGAGAUGGAUUGGUGCCUUCGGGAACUUAGAUACAGGUGCUGCAUGGCUGUCGUCAGCUCGUGUCGUGAGAUGUUGGGUUAAGUCCCGCAACGAGCGCAACCCUUUUCCUUAUUUGCCAGCGGGUCAUGCCGGGAACUUUAAGGAUACUGCCAGUGACAAACUGGAGGAAGGCGAGGACGACGUCAAGUCAUCAUGGCCCUUACGGCCAGGGCUACACACGUGCUACAAUGGUCGGUACAAAGGGUUGCUACCUCGCGAGAGGAUGCUAAUCUCAAAAAAGCCGAUCGUAGUCCGGAUCGCAGUCUGCAACUCGACUGCGUGAAGUCGGAAUCGCUAGUAAUCGCGGAUCAGAAUGCCGCGGUGAAUACGUUCCCGGGCCUUGUACACACCGCCCGUCACACCAUGGGAGUUUGUUGCACCAGAAGUAGGUAGUCUAACCGCAAGGAGGACGCUUACCACGGUGUGGCCGAUGACUGGGGUGAAGUCGUAACAAGGUAAGCGUAGAUGA
rnacentral:rRNA from 1 species